rnacentral:RNase_P_RNA from 1 species
UCAGAGGGUCGGGCGGCCGCGGGCAUCCAUUUGGGUGCGCGAGGAAAGUCCGGGCUCCGCGAAACGACGGUGCCGGGUAACGCCCGGCGGGGGCGACCCCAGGGAAAGUGCCACAGAGAGCAGACGGCGCCGGCUUCGGCCACGCCACGGUGAAAGGGUGCGGUAAGAGCGCACCGCGCGCCUGGUAACAGGGGCGGCACGGCAAACCCCACCGGGAGCAAGACCGAAUAGGGGCGGCAAGGGGCUUCAGGCUCCGGGGCUUCGUUUCAGCCCGUCGCCCGGGUUGGUUGCUGGAGGCGGCGCGCGAGCGUCGUCCUAGAGGAAUGGUCGCCUAUCCUCCGCAAGGGGGUGGACAGAACCCGGCUUACAGACCCUCUGACAUC